rnacentral:rRNA from 1 species
UACGAAGGGUGCUAGCGUUGCUCGGAAUCACUGGGCGUAAAGCGCACGUAGGCGGCUUUCUAAGUCAGGGGUGAAAUCCCGGAGCUCAACUCCGGAACUGCCUUUGAUACUGGAAAGCUUGAGUUCGGGAGAGGUGAGUGGAACUGCGAGUGUAGAGGUGAAAUUCGUAGAUAUUCGCAAGAACACCAGUGGCGAAGGCGGCUCACUGGCCCGAUACUGACGCUGAGGUGCGAAAGCGUGGGGAGCAAACAGG